GCAAACUUGGUCAUUUAGAGGAAGUAAAAGUCGUAACAAGGUUUCCGUAGGUGAACCUGCGGAAGGAUCAUUACCGAGUCCGGGGCCCGCCCCACUCCGCGGCGCCGCGGGUCCCCCGUCGCGGGGGCCCGCGGGGCCGCUCGCCUUUUUUCCAAACCCGUGAACGCGAGGAGAGCCCGGGCGAGAGCCCGGAGCGCAGGCGCAGUCAUGCGGCCGCGCUGGGGCGCCGGAGACGGCGACCCCGAGAGAGGAUCGAGCAGAAAACUUUCAGCAACGGAUCUCUUGGCUCCCGCAUCGAUGAAGAACGCAGC
rnacentral:misc_RNA from 1 species